CCUACGGGCGGCAGCAGUAGGGAAUCUUCCACAAUGGGCGAAAGCCUGAUGGAGCAACGCCGCGUGGGUGAAGAAGGUCUUCGGAUCGUAAAACCCUGUUGUUAGAGAAGAAAGUGCGUGAGAGUAACUGUUCACGUUUCGACGGUAUCUAACCAGAAAGCCACGGCUAACUACGUGCCAGCAGCUGCGGUAAUACGUAGGUGGCAAGCGUUAUCCGGAUUGAUUGGGCGUAAAGGGAACGCAGGCGGACUUUUAAGUCUGAGGUGAAAGCCUUCGGCUUAACCGGAGUAGUGCAUUGGAAACUGGGAGACUUGAGUGCAGAAGAGGAGAGUGGAAUUCCAGGUGUAGCGGUGAAAUGCGUAGAUAUAUGGAAGAACACCAGUGGCGAAAGCGGCUCUCUGGUCUGUAACUGACGCUGAGGUUCGAAAGCGUGGGUAGCAAACAGGAUUAGAUACCCCUGUAGUC
rnacentral:rRNA from 1 species